UUUGGACUAUGUAUAUGUCUGAUAUAUUGUAUAUGCGCAUACAUGUGAGUAUCUAGAUGGGUCCGCGCGAGUUAUAGUCAAGUACCAUGCGAUGUCGACGUGUCGGAGAUGCUCUCGGAGUUGCAAGAAGCACAUUGAGCCUGCCAAACAAUGAGCCUGAUGACCGAUCUCUGUGAAUGUACCUGAAAAAUAGCAAACUUCGGAGCGAAUAAGAGAGGCUAUAUUUAAUUCAAAUGUGAUUUCGUCGUAAUCAUCGAGUUGCAACGAGAUUAUACGCUUUUAUGACUUACUAUUCACACGAGACUCGCCCCAACUCACGCACCGACACUAGGGCCAACAUCAAGUUUUCACUCCAAGCGUGGAAAUUGAAAAGCCAACAUCAUGAAACGGAGACAAAUCCAACAAGUAGUCGUUGUCUACUAGACAUGAAACGAGGUCGUUCUUGGAACAGCUUCUCCAAGGCCAAAGCAACGUCGACCACCUUCCUCGCUUCGCUCUCGACAUGCUCAGCCCCGCUCGUUUCUCGCCGCCGCAAGUCUCGUGCUUCGAGCCUUUUCGCUCGCUUCUUCUGCAAGUGCGCGCGUCAAGAAAACCACCACCCAGUGCAGGUUACGACAGGUUACAAGGAAACAUUCUCGGAGCGGAUGGCUCUUGCUGGUCUCAAAGCCCACCACCGUGUUGCUUUGGGAGUCUCCGGUGGUCCUGAUAGCAUGGCACUGUGUGUUCUAGCUGCCGAUUGGAAAAUCAGUGGCCUUGAAUCUUCUGGCAAAGAGAGUGGGCUUAUUGACGGGCUGUUGGCGAUUAUCGUCGACCACGGGCUGCGUGCAGAGAGCGGAGAGGAAGCAAAUACGGUGCGUGAGCGGGUUUCUGAAAUGGGUAUCAGAUGUGAGAUUGCCCGUUGUGAGUGGAAGGAUGGGAGACCAGAGCAAGGAAACUUGCAAGAAGCAGCACGUGAAAUGAGGUAUGAGAUGUUCCAUAAAGUUUGCAUCGAACAGCAAUUUGGCAUCCUGCUUCUUGCACAUCAUGCUGAUGACCAGGCAGAGUUGUUGGUUAUAAGACUGUCACGCAACAGUGGUGUGCUUGGACUUGCUGGAAUGGCAUUCACUUCUCAAUUUUUUGCCAAACACACGUAUGCUCAUGGUGUAGAUCCAAUGAACAGUGGUAUUCUUUUAGUGCGACCUUUUCUGGAUUUUUCGAAGAAAGAUAUGUACAUGAUUUGUCAAGAGAAUGAGCAGAAAUGGGUGGAAGAUCCUUCAAAUAGAAGUCCCUUAUUUGUCCGUAACCGGAUCCGAAUGUCCUUGCAGAAAUUUUCAUCAAGUGUCUUCAGCUCUGAAGUGCAAUCUCUGAUUUCUACUUGCCGAAGAACACGCGCGUACGUUGACAAAAUAUGUGCAAACUUGUUACAUGAGGCUGUGACUGUUAUGGAUCAAGGGUAUGCUGUCAUUGAUUUGAAGACCCUCAAUCCAUCAAAAGUUGAGGACAUUUGCCUGGCAAAGUUCAUUGCACAUGUUACGCAGUACAUCUCACAAAGACAGAGACCUAUUCGCGGUAGCACGUCAAAAUUGCUUCUGAGCUAUAUGCGUAGAUCUCCAUGCAAGACUUCCCUUACUGCAGCUGGUUGUUACCUUUGCCCAGCUCCUGGAUCUAGAGGCACCAAAAUCUUGGUUUGCUGUUCUGUUAACUGUCCUUUGCCCUCGAAAGUGGAGUUGUUUUACUCAGGAAGCAGUGCAGAAGAGAAGUGUGCUAUCCCAUAUGAUCUAAAGGAAAUCAUGGAUAAUGCAAAUACAAGUUCAAAUCUGUCAUCUGCAGAUGCAUCAGAUGUGCCUUUUUUGAAUGUAACAUCUGGAUCUGUUCUAGACGAAGCCAAAAGACUAAACCUCAUAAGUGAGUCCACCUAUAGAAGUGUUCUGAUGUUGCAGGAGGAGGAAACAAAUCGUUUCAAAUCCAAGCCUGACGUGACACUGGACUAUCAACCAAAGCAUGCAUUAGAAUCUGUUGGUACAUCUCCCAAUCAAUGUCUUCGGCCUGGACAAAUGGGCUUUUUCAUGAAUAGAUUCUUUAUCUUGUGGAAACCGUGCAAGGAGGAUGUUUGCAGGGAAUUUACUCAAGAUGGUGAUUUGGCUGUGGAAGGCUUGGACUGUAAAUGCAGGUUUUGUAGCCUUGGCCAUGAUAUGGUAGCUGAGAUACGUCAUAUGAUGGAGUCUGACUGGCUUUUUCUCACUGAGCUGUCAAAAUCUCAAAAUGCGAAGAAAUCUGAUCUGGAUAAUGCUGUUUCAAGUAGUGUUACGGAGCAAGCUGCAGAGAAGGCAAGCUCAUGUCUUGAUUAUGCAAGGGAAUCCGCACGAACGGUUCUCCAGUUGUUGAAACCUGUUCCUGUUGCCGUGAGAAGAAGCUUGCCCGUCCUAGUUGAUUCUCAGGGACUUCUACUAAGCAUUCCGAGUCUUUCUUUCAAGCAUUGCCCUUGUCUAGAGAUUGAAGCCAAAUUCCAACCCAGAGUUCCACUUGGAGGAGGACAUAGCUCAUUCAUCUGAUGGUUCUUUUGCUUAAUUUCGCCUUGCUUCUUGCCAAACAUCUGGGACAAUGGGCAGUCUGUCUCUCGAAAAGGAUGCUUUUCGAUGAAGGAGCCAAAUGCUUUUCGUUGAAGGAGCCAACCAAAUGUGGGUAAAUUUCAUCAAUGAAGAAAAUAUUUGCACCCCCGGCUUAUUGAAGUUGUUAAAAUAGCAUUUGCCAUAUGCUACCAUUGAAGGAGUCCUUUUUGUCUUUAUGACAAGGUUUGUUCCAAGAUAUCAAGAAGGCGCAUAUCAAUGAUCAUCAUUUAGUCUCCCCCCUUCACCAACUAGAUAGAGUUGAAAGCACCAUUGAACUUGGAAUUCCUUUUGCUUUGAAAUUAGAUUCAAACCCUUUCACCAAGUCUUUGAGAAAUUGACCUCGGGAACAUGAGGUCUCUCAACGUACAUGAGUUCACGUAAUUUUGGGUGCUGUGCGAUUGGACUCCAUUGCCGAAGAAAGCGGCUAAGAGAGGCAAUAGCGAAGAAGGUGU